CACCAUUUUUCAUCUAUACACACACCAUAUAUAUCGACAGACAGACAUAUUGUUACUAUAUUAUAUUUACCUUAUCCAAACCAAACACAUGGUGAAUUAAGUUAACCUAGUAAAGGUUUAAUGGCAGAACUAAAAACACCUAGUAAAGAUGAAACACUUAAGGUUUCACUACCAGCACAACACGAACUCGACAAAGAUGACGGUGGUGGUCCGAUUCGAAAAUCCUCUGCUCACUAAGAAACCUAAAUCAUAAUCCAAGAGACGAGACAGACAUAUUGAAACACGUACUUGAAUCUGCUCACUUAAGGUUCCUCCUGCGACACCUGAAGACUGCCGUCGACAACCCAAGAGACGAGACAGCCGGCCACCCUGUCAUGGUGGUCCGACGAUAGUGAUGACGGAUACAAGCACACCAACCCGAUUCGAGAGAGAGAGACAGAGACGCGUCGGAGGGGGGGAUACAUCGACGGACGGCGGUGUUGGUUCGCCAAUCGGAGUAGCGGUGGAGGUGGGUCGAAGCUCCGGCAGCCCGUAUUUAAGUUGAAGAUGAUGUUCAGAUUUAAGUUGCUUUUUUUUUUGAAGUUUUUCCAGAUUGAAGUCCGAUGAUGAUGGUUUGGUUGAAGAUUGGUUCAUAUGUUGAUCAGAUUCAAGUACGUGUUUCAAGUGUUCGUUUCGUGUCAACAGCGAUUUUGGUUCGGGUUAGUUUCAAGUCAGACUUCGGGUUUGGUUUGGUCAAAGCUGGUCAACGAGAGGUUGUCACGAUACAUGUAGGGCCUAAGUAGGGUCGUUUCGGAUCACGGGCCGAUUUUAUUGGGUCAAAACGUUGACUAGGCUCGGCGUUUUUCGGAUCUGAUGUAUUAGUUUAGUUGAGUUGUUGAUUCGAUAUGUUUCAGAUCUGAUGUAUUAGUUUAGUUGAGUUGCUUCGGUUGAUUUCGAUCAACUUUGGUGUGUCAUUUGAGUCUUUGAACUG